UACGGGGGGGGCAAGCGUUGUUCGGAAUUACUGGGCGUAAAGGGCUCGUAGGUGGCCAACUAAGUCAGACGUGAAAUCCCUCAGCUUAACUGGGGAACUGCGUCUGAUGCUGGAUGGCUUGAGUUUGGGAGAGGGAUGCGGAAUUCCAGGUGUAGCGGUGAAAUGCGUAGAUAUCUGGAGGAACACCGGUGGCGAAGGCGGCAUCCUGGACCAACACUGACACUGAUGAGCGAAAGCCAGGGGAGCAAACGGG
rnacentral:rRNA from 1 species